rnacentral:lncRNA from 1 species
UUUUUAAAAAUUUUAAAUUGCCAACGGGGUUUGGCUACAACUGAAUAAUUCGAUUGAAUUGAAUUAUUGAUAUGAGUCUAUGCUAUUCGAUUCAGCUAGACUAAUGUUAUGAAAACUCUAAGUAUUCAUUGAAAGAAAUUUCCCGAACCAAAUUGUUUUGGUGCGGAAUCCAAUAAGACUGAGGUAGAAUUUUGUGCAUAUGGCAGUGAAGAGAAACAGAGCCGACCAGGAG